CCUACGGGUGGCAGCAGUAGGGAAUUUUGCGCAAUGGGGGAAACCCUGACGCAGCAACGCCGCGUGAUCGAUGAAGCCCUUCGGGGUGUAAAGAUCUGUCAGUGGGGACGAAACCUGACGGUACCCACAGAGGACGCACCGGCUAACUCCGUGCCAGCAGCCGCGGUAAUACGGGGGGUGCAAGCGUUGUCCGGAAUCAUUGGGCGUAAAGAGUUCGUAGGGGGCACGUUAAGUCGGGUGUUAACGGCGGAAGCUCAACUUCCGUAGGGAACUGGAUACUGGCGAGCUUGAUGGCGGUAGGGGGAAAGGGAAUUCCGGGUGUAGCGGUGAAAGGGGUAGAUACAAGGAGGA
rnacentral:rRNA from 1 species